CGGAGGUAAUAUCUGCAUGGCUUUUGAACGAUAAUGACUGACAACCGAGGAACACCAAGGGGCUGAAAAGUUACACCGUGGUGGCUUUAUUUCUGCUGGACAGGUCACCUGCAGUCUUCAAACACCCUGUGCUUCUCAUCAGUACACUGACCGGACCAUGCUGGCUGCCCUGGAUUACAACCACCGUGUCCACAGACCAGCCAGGAGAAAAGCUGAUGACACAGUUCAGUACAGCAAGGUGUACAACAAAAAGUCCAGGAAGUGGAGCUUGUACUCAUUGAAGGUGGAGAAGGACUACAGUUACAUUGCAGACCUCCACAGUGACAUCCUCCUCCAGUUGUCUACUACUGAGGAGCUGCCUAGAAGCAGAACC